UAGGGAAUCUUCGGCAAUGGGGGGAACCCUGACCGAGCAACGCCGCGUGAGUGAAGAAGGCUUUCGGAUCGUAAAGCUCUGUUGUUAAGGAAGAACGAGUGUGAGAAUGUAAAGUUCAUACAGUGACGGUACUUAACCAGAAAGGGACGGUAAACUACGUGCCAGCAGCCGCGGUAAUACGUAGGUCCCGAGCGUUGUCCGGAUUUAUUGGGCGUAAAGCGAGCGCAGGCGGUUAGAAAAGUCUGAAGUGAAAGGCAGUGGCUCAACCAUUGUAGGCUUUGGAAACUGUUUAACUUGAGUGCAGAAGGGGGGAGUGGAAUUCCAUGUGUAGCAGUGAAAUGCGUAGAUAUAUGGAGGAACACCGGUGGCGAAAGCGGCUCUCUGGUCUGUAACUGACGCUGAGGCUCGAAAGCGUGGGUAGCAAACAGG
rnacentral:rRNA from 1 species